rnacentral:rRNA from 1 species
AGAGUUUGAUCAUGGCUCAGGAUGAACGCUAGCGGCAGGCUUAACACAUGCAAGUCGAGGGGUAUAGUUCUUCGGAACUAGAGACCGGCGCACGGGUGCGUAACGCGUAUGCAAUCUACCUUUCACAAAGGGAUAGCCCAGAGAAAUUUGGAUUAAUACCUUAUAGUAUAGCGAGUUCGCAUGGAUUUGCUAUUAAAGAUUUAUCGGUGAAAGAUGAGCAUGCGUCCCAUUAGCUAGUUGGUAAGGUAACGGCUUACCAAGGCUACGAUGGGUAGGGGUCCUGAGAGGGAGAUCCCCCACACUGGUACUGAGACACGGACCAGACUCCUACGGGAGGCAGCAGUGAGGAAUAUUGGUCAAUGGGCGCAAGCCUGAACCAGCCAUGCCGCGUGCAGGAUGACGGUCCUAUGGAUUGUAAACUGCUUUUGUACAGGAAGAAACACCCCGACGUGUCGGGACUUGACGGUACUGUAAGAAUAAGGAUCGGCUAACUCCGUGCCAGCAGCCGCGGUAAUACGGAGGAUCCAAGCGUUAUCCGGAAUCAUUGGGUUUAAAGGGUCCGUAGGCGGCUUAAUAAGUCAGUGGUGAAAUCCCUACGCUUAACGUAGGAACGGCCAUUGAUACUGUUAGGCUUGAAUUAUUAGGAAGUAACUAGAAUAUGUAGUGUAGCGGUGAAAUGCUUAGAGAUUACAUGGAAUACCAAUUGCGAAGGCAGGUUACUACUAAUGGAUUGACGCUGAUGGACGAAAGCGUGGGUAGCGAACAGGAUUAGAUACCCUGGUAGUCCACGCCGUAAACGAUGGAUACUAGCUGUUGGAAGCAAUUUCAGUGGCUAAGCGAAAGUGAUAGUAUCCCACCUGGGGAGUACGUUCGCAGAAUGAAACUCAAGGAAUGACGGGGCCCGCACAAGCGGUGGAGCAUGUGGUUUA